rnacentral:rRNA from 1 species
GACUCUCGGCAACGGAUAUCUCGGCUCACGCAUCGA